rnacentral:rRNA from 1 species
AGGUGCGAUCAUACCAACACUAAUGAACUGGAUCCCAUCGGAACUCCGAAGUUAAGUGUGCUUGGGCGAGAUUAGUACUAAGAUGGGCUUUGUCACAGGACUUUCACAGACAUAGA